rnacentral:rRNA from 1 species
UAGGGAAUCUUCGGCAAUGGACGAAAGUCUGACCGAGCAACGCCGCGUGAGUGAAGAAGGUUUUCGGAUCGUAAAACUCUGUUGGUAGAGAAGAACGUUGGUGAGAGUGGAAAGCUCAUCAAGUGACGGUAACUACCCAGAAAGGGACGGCUAACUACGUGCCAGCAGCCGCGGUAAUACGUAGGUCCCGAGCGUUGUCCGGAUUUAUUGGGCGUAAAGCGAGCGCAGGUGGUUUAUUAAGUCUGGUGUAAAGGCAGUGGCUCAACCAUUGUAUGCAUUGGAAACUGGUAGACUUGAGUGCAGGAGAGGAGAGUGGAAUUCCAUGUGUAGCGGUGAAAUGCGUAGAUAUAUGGAGGAACACCGGUGGCGAAAGCGGCUCUCUGGCCUGUAACUGACACUGAGGCUCGAAAGCGUGGGGAGCAAACAGGAUUAGAUACCCUGGUAGUCCACGCCGUAAACG